rnacentral:rRNA from 1 species
CGUCCGAUUAGCUAGUUGGUAGGGUAAGGGCCUACCAAGGCGACGAUCGGUAGCUGGUCUGAGAGGAUGGCCAGCCACACUGGGACUGAGACACGGCCCAGACUCCUACGGGAGGCAGCAGUGGGGAAUAUUGGACAAUGGGGGGAACCCUGAUCCAGCAAUGCCGCGUGUGUGAAGAAGGCCUGAGGGUUGUAAAGCACUUUCAGUGGGGAGGAGGGUUGAUAGGUUAAGAGCUAAUUAACGGACGUUACCCACAGAAGAAGCA